rnacentral:lncRNA from 1 species
UCCAGUCCACAACCAUGCUUUACCUCUCAUUACUCAACCUCUGUCGACUCUCCUCCACAGUCAAAUGGCCCAAAUCCCAGCUUCGCUUCGCUUCACUUCUCCACAGUCAGUCAGUCCACUUUGGCUUCGCAAAUUGCGACUCUCCUCUACUCUGACCUCUCCCCCACUCUUGCCUCCACCUCCGGCCCCCGUUCCUCUGCGUUUAACGGUCUCUCAAGUCUCAGAUCUCGUCUCUCAUCUCAAAUCUGUCCCUCAAGUCUCAGAUCUCAUCUCUUUCAAAGUGAAUAGUGAACACCAUGAAGGUAUUGUAGACUUGUAGUCUCUGUUUCAUGGGUUCGCGAGUCAUUCAAAGUUGGAAUACUUUUCAAGAAUUAGAAGACUAUUUGAAGUGAUGGGUACUUUACCAAAAGUAACAUACACGCAGUUUGAAUCUUCGAUGACAAGAAUCACUCUAAUACUCUAUAAUCAACUGUUGAGACUUAUUUGUUUGAAUCUUUUAAAGGUUAUGCAUUUUUGAAUCAGAUAUUGGUUCAUCAAACUGGUAAACUGAUAUUUGAAAUGACUUUUUUUGUUUGGUAAAAAUUAAAUGUAAUUUCAGUUAUUAACCGAGAAAAUCGAAUAGUAAAUUCAGUUAUUCAGUUUUCGGUAAUUCUGUUAUUAUGUAAUUCAGUUUGUUUUUCGGAUAACAAAAUUAUAUAAAUUUCGG